CGGCGGGGAUUGCUGCAAGGGGCAUUGCUUUGUCUGCCGGGGACGUGCAGGUUCCGCCGCGGCUCUCCCGGGCCGCUGGAAGGCGCCUCAGCGGGGCCGAGCCCCGCGCCGCCGCGGCCCCGGGCCGAACCCCUGGGCCCCGCGGCCCCGGGCUGAGGCGAGGCGAAGCACCGGCCCCGGCCCCGGCCCCGCGGGUCUGGUGUGUGCACCUGCAGGAACGACGGGCAGGGGCUCGAGAAAGCCUACACCAAAUACAGGUCUGGAAAGUUUUUCCAGAAAACCUCUAAUUUUCCCCAUUCACGAAGCGGGCGAGGGUUUCCUGUCGGGUUUCCAUGUUGGUGGAGCUGGCAGAAAAACUCAGUCACACCCAGGUGCCGCCUGUCCUUGGCAUGGGCAGGCACUGUUUGCCUGCUCCACAAAGUUUUUGCAGGAUCAGCAAAAGUGUCCAGCUGGCUCAAGGCAAGUCUGCCUAGUGCAGUACCCUGUUCCUGGCAGGAGCCAGCACCAUGCCAGAAGGGUUGAAAAAGACAGAAAGAAUCCUGCAGCAUUCAGAAGCAACAUCUAUGCUGGCUUCUUGAUCUUUGGAAGCCCGAUAUUGAUCGAAGUCUGGGAGCAUGGAAUCUAACAUCUCUUUCACAGAAUGCACCAGAAAGUGGCUGUUCCACAGUAGGAAAGUCAACAUUUCCUCAAAACUCCCCACUGUUAUUGAUAAACUGGGACCCUCAUAACCAGAGAAGUGAGAAGAAACAACCUGAACUGCACAGAAGACAAAACUGAAAUGCAGUGGUUGAAGCUCAGCAUCUUUCUGUUGCACAGCUUUGAGAAGAACUGAGCACACACAAUUCCUUCUCCUGUUGUUUUCCUAUUUGUCAUUCAGUUUAGAUGUUCUUUCAGUAAAACUCUGUGAUGUUACUUUAUAUUAGUUUUAUUAAAUAUAUUAGCAAUACAAUCCAAACUACCAGCUCCCUCCCUCUCCCUGCACAUUAAUCCUUUCAAGAUUAAAAUUCACAUACAAGUUGCAACACCGUGAGCAGAGAAUUGCAUUCAGUAAUGGUGAAUGGAUUACGCAUUCCAACAACGUAAACUGCAAAAAAAAGACAUUUAAAGCAUAACUGAGUCAUUCAGCAGCACGCUCCCCUCCUCUCAUGACUUCCCUUUGUUGCCCUCAGUUCCGUCCCUUCUGCCGUUUCUGGUUUUUUGCCCUUAUUUUGAGAGCCUGACUGAGGGCAUCGCUUUCCACCAUCAGCCCGCGAGGCCGUGUGAAGGCAGCCAGAUCUGCAGCCCGCCUGUUUUGCCCACCGCCAGCCGGGUGGUGUUCCUGCACACCUGGAACAGCUGCUCUGGGCACAGCUCACACGCACCAGCUCCUCCAAGGCAUCACCACAAGUGGCCAUGCCCAGCCACCAUGGCUCAGUUCCUCCGGCCCCAGCUCACCUGGUGCAGUGGUGCAGGAAAGUGAGGUGCCUUCCUGCUGGGUUUGGGUGGUGAAGCCACAGGCUCUUAUCCUGUAAACAUAGGUGGUGUUCGGUGGUGCUUGUGGGCUGUGGCAGAAAAGGGUGGUGCUGUGCAGUCCUGGGUUGGUUUAGGGUGGCUUGGGGCUGGGAGGCAGCCAGGGCAGAGAGAGGGGAGGGAAAUGCAGCCGCGGUGGUGAUGGAACAGGUGUUAUCCUGCUGCGGGCUGUGCCAGGGAGCCGUGUGCCUCAGGGCCUUCGCUCAGAGGUGUUUGUGUGGGAACAUAAUGGGAACACACGAACUUUUGCCAUUGUGACCCCUUCAUCCUGGAUGACUCAUGGAUGAGAUGGGGCAGAUACAUCCCUCCAGGAUUCUGGGAUUUCCUGCCCAGUCCGAUUGAAUGGAGAUAUCAUAGCCACUGGGUAGAUCCUCCAAGGAGAGAGCCUUAGUUGUGGCUUUUGUGUAGAAAACCAAGAGUAUGUUUUGCACAUGACUUUUAUUUUGAUGUUGAGGUCUGUGGAUCCGUGUCUAGAUUGUAUCGCUCUUUUUGUGCUGCUGUUGCAUGCAUAACCAGUUUUUCUUCGAAAUAUAAGAUUAAAGCUGCUCUAAUAAUAUAGGAAAUAAAAAAGACACAGGUAAAAGUAUGUAUGUUUUU
ensembl:lncRNA